rnacentral:lncRNA from 1 species
UAAUUAGUCAUAUUAUUCAUAUGGGUCCAAAAAUCAUAUUUUUACAAAUUUACAUUUUGACCCCUAAAGUUUCGCAUAUUUUCACUUUUGCCCCAAGACUCAAAAAUUAAACUUCAUCCUAUUUCUUAUGUUUUAUGACAUGUUUAUCAUUUUUCCCUUCUAUGGCAACAUCAAAUUCUCAUUCUAAAAUGUACUUAUGAGCAUUAGGUAUUUUUACCGAUUAU